UACGGAGGGUGCAAGCGUUGCUCGGAAUUACUGGGCGUAAAGCGUACGCAGGCGGCCAAUUAAGUCGGAUGUGAAAGCCCUGGGCUCAACCCAGGAACUGCAUUCGAAACUGGUUGGCUUGAGUGUGAGAGAGGGAAGUGGAAUUCCAGGUGUAGAGGUGAAAUUCGUUGAUAUCUGGAGGAACACCGGCGGCGAAGGCGGCUUCCUGGCUCACAACUGACGCUCAUGUACGAAAGCGUGGGUAGCAAAC
rnacentral:rRNA from 1 species